CAAAUUAAAGCUUUAAUAAGUAUUUUAUUUACAUUAAAAUGGAAAAUUGUUUUAUCAAUUUAAUUUGA
rnacentral:tRNA from 1 species